rnacentral:rRNA from 1 species
UACAGAGGUCCCAAGCGUUGUUCGGAUUCACUGGGCGUAAAGAGCGUGUAGGCGGCCAGGUAGGUCUGCUGUGAAAACUCGAGGCUUAACCUCGAGAUGUCGGCGGAAACCAUCUGGCUAGAGUCCGGAAGAGGAGAGUGGAAUUCCUGGUGUAGCGGUGAAAUGCGCAGAUAUCAGGAAGAACACCCGUGGCGAAGGCGGCUCUCUGGGACGGUACUGACGCUGAGACGCGAAAGCGUGGGGAGUGAACAGG